UGAGUUGAAUGGAGAUUGGUCAAUUGUGCAGGGGCUCAAGAUCGAUGAGUUUUCAAGGGGAAAGAUGGAUGCCACGGCAGAAGAGCUCAUGGAGGAGAAAUCAUUGGCCUAUUCAUGCCUCAAGUGACAAACAUGCUCAGAUUUCCUUCGAAGAACAAAACACAAUAGAGAGGGAUACCAAUAAAUUCAUGAAAUUUUAAUUUGGUUAUGCAAUUAAUAAGCUGCCUGCCCUGGUGAUGCAGUGCUCUGUCAGAGUUUCUAACUCUCAUCUCUCUCUCAUCAAAAUAUGUAUGUUUUGGUAUAUUGAUGUUCUCAAUGUGAUUUGGUAUAUUUACGUUCUCAAUGUGAAAGCAUGUUGUUUCAUAACAUCA